rnacentral:lncRNA from 1 species
CAGAGCCCGCCAGGAGCUAAGCCAGGGCCACACCUGGGGUGACCUCGCGGCUCACCUCCAGUAGGCACCUCGGUCUCUCCGGGCUGAUUACUAACUCUUGCUGUCCCCCAGCUGUCAUCCCUGCCUCGCCCUGGCUGCCUCAGGGGCUGACCACUCACCGCCGUCCCGCCCAUCGGGCGCGCUGAGGCCCUGGCCUGGCUUGGACCGGCUGCCCUGCCCUGCACUCCUCACUAACUCCUGCCUCCCUGCUCUGUCCCUGCAGCAGCACUAAUGGCUUGUGGAUUUCUUCCUGGCUAACAGCAGGUGUGACACGCCUUGUGACUGUCACCACCCUUAGCUUGGAUGUCGGCAUGGCCGGG